AAGGUACGUACUUUUUUAAAGACAUAAUGCCAUCGCACACUUGUUAGACUACAGUAUAUUGUAAACAUAACUUUUCUUGGCACUGGGAAACCAAAAAACUUGUGUGAAUCACUUUAUUUCAAUAUUAACUUUAUUACAGUGGUCUGGAAUGGAAUCUGCAAUAUCUCUGAGAUAUGCGUGUAUAUAUAAUUAAGUCCUGAAUAUAAAUAUAAAUAUGUCUAUAUGGAGACAGAGAGGAAAAAUAGCUGCCUUAGGAUCAUUUCCGUCAUUGUGUUAUCACCAUAAGCCAUCAGUGUAUGCAUUGAGCACGUAACCUGUUUCAGGCAUAAAUACAUACAUAAUCUGUGUUCUCCACUUUUUCUGCACUGUCGUGGUUAUUGGACAUUGGGGUGCAGUACUUAGGAAGAACCAGCAGUGUAGGGAUUUAGUUCCCAUUGUCCCACAGCUGAGAUCCUUCCCUGGAGUUACUGACUCUCAGGCUGAAGCAACUGAAGCUCUCAGUUUCAUGUGGGACAUGAGAUCCCAAGAUGGCAGACACAAGCACACCAUCUUCAAUGUCUGACAUGAGAUGUGUGAAGAUCAAAGAAGGUUCCUUAUUUUAAAAUGCCUGUUGUAAACCUAUUGAGACUCGUUUGUUCUUUUAUCAAAAUGACUCUAAAGAUCCUGAGAUAAAUGGUUAGCAUCGAGUAGAAGGAAAGCAUAAUAUUGAGAACAAUGUCCAAAGGACUGGAAUCAAAGCCAGAAAAUAUUGAGAGAGUCUAAAGGCAUUAAGGAUCCCAUUUUAUAAGGGGUGAAGAUUUAGGCCCUUCUGGAUAGAAGAAUCCCUGUUUUAUUGUUGAAGAUCUUGCAGGAAGAGAACUCCCCUUUCCCAACGCAGGAAACCUUCCUUUGUCCCUGUCUCAUGCCUCUAGAUAAUUAUUGGGAAGCUUUUUCUCAAAUCUAAAUGCCACCCCUUACUCUAGUAUUAACCCAUUUACAUCCUGUAAAAGAUAUGGGAAAUAGAAUUAGUCUUCCUCUGUGAUGUAAUAACUUCUCACCCACAAGAAGAACACAGGGCAUUCCAAGUGAAGCAGCCCCAGUUAUUUCACGUUUUCAUCACAGAUCCUAUCUCCAAGUCCUUCCAUCAGCUUCAGUGAUGGGUCGUGCUGGGCAGGACCUGGAGGAACAGCCCUGUCUCAGCCAGGAGAAGACGGAUUGCUGUCAGCCCCACGCAAAUACUUCUUGAGCUCCUGCAUGCCUAGCCUGUGCUAGAUGCUUAGAAUGCAAACGGUGGAAAGCAGGAGCCUCAGCAGGGCCACAGGAACGGGGAUGGAGGUGAACGUCGAGGUGCCAGCGCCAAGAGUGCUGGGAGAAUCUGGACAAAUCCAGUCUGAAUGGGCGGGGCCAGGCAUGGGGAAGCUCAGCAGCAGGCGAGGGAGCAGGACUGACCCGCAGUGAGGCCAGCCCAGGGCACAGAGAGGCACAAGGCCCUGGGACUUUUGGAGAGUGAGAUGAGAAAUAACUUUCUCAUUCUUGUUUCACAGAUUAAAAGAUAUAUUACAUUUUUUUCAUUGUUUUCAUUGAAAUCAUUUUCCAAUUACAUGACCUAGAAAACUAAAAUUAAAACACACUGGCAUUUUUAUAUUGCAUAAUUCAAGAGCUGUAGGAAGCUAUUGCUUAAACGUGUAUUUACUUGUGGCCAAAAGAAAAAACAAAAAACAAAUGUCAUAUUUUAAUGAUUUGGCUCACAAAGUGCAUAGUACUCAGGGAGCUUGAGAACAAAAAAUGAGCUCUACAAAAACAGGCUACCCAAAAAGGUGAACUUAGUCAUCAAAGCAAAGAGAGUUGACAUUUAAAGCGAAUGAAGUCCUUUACCUGAAUGAAUUGGACCAGCUGUCCAACCACUCUUUCAGGCUCUCACCCUAGAGGUCACGGGGAAGGGAACUUUAGGGCUUAGGGAGAAGCCGAUGCCCAGAGGACACCCGGGGUUAGAAAGCCCAGAUUCCUCCCUCGGGACAAGUCUUCACAAAUCUCUUAGGUAGGGGAAGAGCCACUGAUUUUUUUUUUUUCAAUUUUUUAAAUCGUGGCAACAUACACAUGAAACUUACGAUCCUAACCAUUCUCAGGUGCGCAGCUCAGCGUUAUUACCCCCUCUCAUGAUGCCAAGCAGCCAGCACCACCUUCCAGCUCCACAGCUCUUGACCUCUGGGAAAACUGAAACUCUAUACUUACUAAGUCAUAACUCAGAAGCCACUGACUUUUAAAUUAAUU